CGUACACUCCUACGGGAGGCAGCAGUGAGGAAUAUUGGACAAUGGGUGGAAGCCUGAUCCAGCCAUCCCGCGUGCAGGAAGACGGCCCUAUGGGUUGUAAACUGCUUUUAUCUGGGGAUAAACCUACUUACGUGUAAGUAGCUGAAGGUACCAGAAGAAUAAGCACCGGCUAACUCCGUGCCAGCAGCCGCGGUAAUACGGAGGGUGCAAGCGUUAUCCGGAUUUAUUGGGUUUAAAGGGUCCGUAGGCGGACUGAUAAGUCAGUGGUGAAAUCCGACAGCUUAACUGUCGAACUGCCAUUGAUACUGUUAGUCUUGAGUAAGGUUGAAGUGGCUGGAAUAAGUAGUGUAGCGGUGAAAUGCAUAGAUAUUACUUAGAACACCAAUUGCGAAGGCAGGUCACUAAGUCUUAACUGACGCUGAUGGACGAAAGCGUGGGGAGCGAACAGGAUUAGAAACCCCGGUAGUCCC
rnacentral:rRNA from 1 species